rnacentral:rRNA from 1 species
GCAAGUCGAGGGGUAACAGUGAGUGCUUGCACUUAGCUGACGACCGGCGCACGGGUGCGUAACGCGUAUACAAUCUACCUUGUACUGAGGGAUAGCCCAGAGAAAUUUGGAUUAAUACCUCAUAGUAUCAUAUUACGGCAUCGUAUUUAUGAUUAAAGGUUACGGUACAAGAUGAGUAUGCGUCCUAUUAGUUAGUUGGUAAGGUAACGGCUUACCAAGACAUCGAUAGGUAGGGGCCCUGAGAGGGGGAUC